GUAGGUGAACCUGCGGAAGGAUCAUUAACAAGUCCAACAUAUGGCAGCUGCUUUACUGCGGCCUGCUAUAUAAGCCCCGUGCAGCAAUGCACGUGUGACACAUUUUAUCGUUUGACUGAAUUAUAUUACAUAACCAAGGAAAACUUUCAACAACGGAUCUCUUGGUUCUG
rnacentral:misc_RNA from 1 species